AGCGAACGCUGGCGGCAGGCCUAACACAUGCAAGUCGAACGAUCCUUCGGGAUAGUGGCGGACGGGUGAGUAACACGUGGGAACGUACCUUUAGGUUCGGGAUAACUCAGGGAAACUUGAGCUAAUACCGGAUAAGCCCUUUUGGGGAAAGAUUUAUCGCCUUUAGAGCGGCCCGCGUUAGAUUAGCUAGUUGGUGAGGUAAAGGCUCACCAAGGCUCCGAUCUAUAGCUGGUCUGAGAGGAUGAUCAGCCACACUGGGACUGAGACACGGCCCAGACUCCUACGGGAGGCAGCAGUGGGGAAUCUUGCGCAAUGGGCGAAAGCCUGACGCAGCCAUGCCGCGUGAAUGAUGAAGGUCUUAGGAUUGUAAAAUUCUUUUAGCAGGGACGAUAAUGACGGUACCUGCAGAAAAAGCCCCGGCUAACUUCGUGCCAGCCGCCGCCGUAA
rnacentral:rRNA from 1 species